rnacentral:lncRNA from 1 species
AACUGACUAUUCCUCCCAUGGACAAAUCCAUUUGGAAAUUUUCACCUUCCUCAGUGAGCUCCAGCAGUGUCAGCUGAAUCUAAAGUCAAGCAUAAGUAAAACUUCAAAAAUUGAUGCUUUGAAAAAAUUGACCUCUUCUCUGCACACUACAUUAAAAAAUACCACGCUUGUGUUACCACUUCAUUUCAAGACGAGGCCUCUGGCCCUUCCCACUCUCUCCCAAUCAGACUGCUGAAAUUUUGCAGCCACCGUUUUCAUUUCUUCUCAUCACCACUUGGCCUUCCCACCCAGUUUGAAGGGCAGGAUGACUGAUGUGAACCUUGAAGUGAAGCACCAUCAAAGUGCUGUAAGCUGCUGUGGGAAACAGUAUGGCAGCUCUGCAAAAAUUCAGACACAGAAUUGCCGUAGGGUCCAGCAGGUCCGCUUCAAGGCAUCUACCCUGAAGAACUGAAAGCAGGGACAUGAACAGAUAAUUGUACACAUCCAUGUCCAUAGAAGCACUAUUCACAGUAGUCAAAGGGUGAAAACAACCCAAAUACCCAUUGAUGGAUGAAUGGAUAAGCAAAAUGUGGUAUACACACGCAAUGGAAUAUUUUUCAGCCUUAAACAGGAAAGGAAGGAAAUUGUGAUACAUACUACAACAUGGAAGAAUAUUGAACACAUUAUGCUAAAUGAAAUAAGGCAAUCACACGAAUGUAUGAUUCCACUUAUUUGAGGUGCCUAGAGUAGUCAAAUCUGUAGAGACAGAAAGUAGAACAGUGGUUACGGGGGAGCUGAAGGGAGGAAAAAGUGGGGAGUUGUUGUUUAAUGGGUACAGAGUUUCAGUGUGGGAUGAUGAGAGAGUCCUGAAGCUGGGUGGUGCUGAUGGUUGAACGACUAUGUGAAUGUACUAAAAGCCACUGAACUGUACACUUAAAAUGGUUAAAAUGGUAGAUUUUAUGUCGUGUGUAUUUUCCUGCAAUUCUUUAAAAAGUGAUCUAAGAUUAUGAUGAACUUAUGCAGCAUGUAAUGCCCUCAGCAUGCAGUAGAGGGCAAAGGAGUGCAAACUUCACAGAAAAGCUGGACUCAGGCACUCCUGGAGCCAGUCCUGGUUCUGUCAAUGAAUCAUCUGCACCUGCAGCUCUGCCGGAGCCGCUGCCAGCCUGGGGAGACACAAGAUAGCAGAAUGGCUAAGAGCCCCGGCUCUGGACUCACCAUGGAUUAACUUUGUGACCAUGAGGCAGCUACAGGACCUCUCUAAGCACCACCUUUCAUAUCUGUAAAUGGUGAGUAGUGUUGUAAGGAUCCAUCUGUGUAAAGUC